rnacentral:rRNA from 1 species
UACGGAGGAUGCAAGCGUUAUCCGGAUUUAUUGGGCGUAAAGCGUCCGCAGGUGGCUAUACAAGUCUGCUGUUAAAGCGUGGGGCUUAACUCCAUACAGGCAGUGGAAACUGUAAAGCUAGAGUCUGGUAGGGGUCACGGGAAUUCCCAGUGUAGCGGUGAAAUGCGUAGAUAUCGGGAGGAACACCAGUGGCGAAGGCGGCUUCCUGGACCUGUUCUGACACUGAGGAGCGAAAGCGUGGGGAGCGAUCCGG